CUCCUCCCUUAUGUCAAUCGGCUCGCUUGUCGAGGAACACAAACUCCUGGAUUUUACUUUUAAUUCGGAUUAAUGAAUACCGUGUUCCAGAUAAGGAUUCGGGUAUCUGUUCACCCUGACAGAAGCCGUGUCGCUGUUUGAGGUGUGUAAUGACAAGAUAUGUAGCUCGCAUGUAAGCUUCGGGGGACUGGUAUCUCUCAUGAGGUGCCAUGCUGGCCACACAGACUCCAGACCUGCCCGCAGAAGGCCAGGACAUCAGACAGGACAGAGAGAUGUCUGAUUUGUAUGCAGAGGUUUGUAACAACAGAUGACGGGGUGAUAGAGAAGCCAGUGAUGCAGAGCGAGGUUGAUGGGUUACCGCGGGUUCGAUGAAGAGUG
ensembl:lncRNA